CGCGAGGCCGGCGUGAUGGAACGCCGCGCCGUUUUCGAUGGCGUCAGCCAGAUCGUCGCUGGUCUCCGAGUC
rnacentral:tRNA from 1 species